UAGUAUAAAUUUAAGUAUGGGCAUUGAGG
rnacentral:piRNA from 1 species